rnacentral:lncRNA from 1 species
CUUCCACAGUGACCUCAAUUUCAGGAACCUUUUCAUUACUCUCAGGGCUUCAUGGUCUUUUUAGAAACUGCGAAGCGGAACCUUUUCAUUACUCUCAGGGCUUCAUGGUCUUUUUAGAAACUGCGAAGCUAUAAAAUAAAGCACAGAAUUACUUUAGUAUAUUGUAGAAAAAAAUACAGAAGGAAAUGCUUUAUAAGAGCGGAGUAUUAAAAUUCAUUCAGUUUGGCUCUUUUCAAAGAAACCUGCAGAAUUAAACUUGUAGUGUAAUCCUCCACAGGGGACUCAACAAAGCCAUGGAAACAUGAAUGAAGUGGGAUUGCAAAUGUGACACUUCCAACAAAAUUUUUUUUAAAGAAAAAGAGGUCCAUUAAAUAAAAUACCUUAAAAAGCCAAGAAAUUAACUGCAAGUCCCACAAAGAGAAUGGCCAAUGAUUCUGUGUGAUUUAAGGAAUGCUGAUAAAGAAUGUCUUAAUGUAGUGAAAUAUAAUACAAAACACAGGUAAUCUCUUACCUUUAGUGUUUAUUUUAUUAGCAACUCCAGGAGGCAAGUAGGAAAUAACCAGUUCAGGUCUAGAAAGAAAACCAAGAAAUGUUACAGCAGCCAGUACAAUGGUGGCCUCACAGCUAGUAAAACGGUUGUGAUAUGACCAGGGUUUUUUCCUAAAGGUGUUCACAGAGUCAUCCUGUAAUGUCACAAUAAUUCCUAUCAUUGUAGAUGAAAACCCUGACUUUUCCUUCCCAUGACUGGCAAGUAAUUGUAUGAAAAGUAAAUUACUUCUUUCAUGAAAAAGAAAAUUAACACUAGUGUACUUUCUUCAGCCACCAAAAUUCUGCAGAAACGCAGAUAUAAUUAAAAAAAAACCUCCAUCAUCAGGCCGGGCACGGUGGCUCAUACCUGCAGUCCCCAUACUUUGGGAGGCUGAGGUGGGUGGGUCACCUGAGGUCAGGAGUUUGAGACCAGCCUGACCAACUUGGUGAAACACCGUCUCUACGAAAAAUACAAAAAUUAGCCGGGCAUGGUGGUGCAUGCCUGUAAUCCCAGCUACUUGGGAGGCUGAGGCAGGAGAAUCACUUGAACCUGGGAGGUGGAGGUUGCAGUGAGUCGAGAUCGUGCCAUUGCACUGCAGCCUGGGUAACAAGAGUGAAACUCUGUCUCAGAAAAAGGAAAAGAAACUCAAUCAUCAAUAUUUACUUGCUAAUAAGAUUGACCCAGGAAUAACAGAGCAGAUAAAACCCAGCAGAUUAAACUUCAUUCAAGUACUUAGGCAUACUGCAAGCCACCACAGUGUGUCUGAACAUCGGGGAGGCAGUGGUCACUAUUCUUGCACUGAUGAAGAUGACUGAGUAUGGGAUGGGGAAUGGCAGGGGCAAUGGAGAGUGCCAGGACUGCAGCUCAGAGCCAGGCUUUUCCAUCAAGGACUUACAGACACACCUGUCACUUCUAGCUAGAAAAACAUUUUAGUAGAAAUGUCAUUUUAUUGUUUUAAUUCCAGAAAUGACUACAGUGGCAAAUAUAACUUACUUUUUUAUUGUUGUUGUUGUUGUUGUUGUUGAGGCAGAGUCUCACUCUGUCACCCAGGCUGGAGUGCAGUGUUGUGAUCUCGGCUCACUGCAGCCUCUGCCUCCCAGGUUCAAGUGAUUCUCCUGCUUCAGCCUCCCAAGUAGCUGGGAUCACAGGUGCCCGCCACCAUGCCCGGCUAAUUUUUUGUAUUUUUAGUGGAUACGGGGUUUUGCCAUGUUUGCCAGGCUGGUCUCGAACGCCGGACCUCAGGUGAUCUGCCCACCUCAGCCUCAUAAAGUGCUGAGAUUACAGACGUGAGCCACUACGCCUGGCCUAAAACUUACUUUUUACCAACAAAUUUGAUUUUAUUACUCCCAUGGACGAUCCUUUCAAGUCAUGGAAUUCCAAACCAGGAGGGCUUCGAAAGGGAAUCCUGUCUGGCAAACCUUCUACGUACAGGAACUUGGGAUUUGAUUCAAACACAGGAUAUGGUUCUUUUACUGCCUCAGUGAGUCCAAGAACUUAAGCUGAAAGUGCAAGAGAACAUAAUUUGUGGAAAAUAAAAUCUGACACGGACAUUCUUUUAUUUGUAUCUGCAUUCUCAAGUACAUUAUGGACAAGUUCCCUACAAUCAAGCAAUAUUUACUUCAUAUUGAAGGCAUUUUGCUUAGGAUAUUGGCCAAAUCUGAAGAACAAGCUUAAAAAAUAAGUACUUUUGAGAGGAACACUUUAACCCUUUCACUCAAAAGGAGAGUUAUGUUAUUAGCCAAAAUGACCUCCAGAGUAUAGCUGGGACUACAGGCACCCGCCACCAUGCCUGGCUAAUUUUUUGUAUUUUUAGUAUACUAGAGACGGGGCUUCACCGUGUUAGCCAGGAUGGUCUCGACCUCCUGACCUCGUGAUCCGCCCGCCUCAGCCUCCCAAAGUGCUGGGAUUACAAGAAUGAGCCACCGCGCCCCGCCCACAUUUUAGAAAAUGAAUUCUAAGACACAGAGAGUUCAACUACCUUUCCAAAGAUGACACAGCUAAUUACACAGCAGACCAGGUGGCCUGACCCCAGGACUUUUGCCCUUGAUCUCUACACUACCAUGUUGAGCACAGCAGUAAAUAUUUCAUACAGUUUUAUCCAGAUUUUUCCUGUUGGUUGUGGUAAACCACGUUUUGUUGUUUGGAGACAAAGUGUUGCUCUGUUGCCCAGGUUGCUGGUGUGCAGCGACACAAACAUGGCUCACUGCAGCCUCAACCUCCUGGGCUCAGGCAAUCCAUUUCAGCUUCCCAAAGUGCUGGGAUUACAGGAAUGAGCCAUCAUGCCUGGCCUCACACUAUAUUUUAAUGCCUUUUUUGAAAAUGGAAACUUUUACCAAUGACUCACUUCAUUCAAACUAAUGAUAAGGAAAUGAUGCUAUUCUCUUUUGUUUUGUUUUUGCAUUUUUUUUUCUUUUUUGAGACAAGGUCUUGCUCUGUUGCCCAGGCUGGAGUAGGUAGUGCAAUCAUGGCAGCCUCAACCUCCCAGACUCAAGCAAUCCUGCCCCCAGGAUUCCCAAGUAGCUGAGACUACACGUGCAUGCUACCACGUUUGGCCAAUUUUUGUUGUAGACACAGAGUUUCACCAUGUUGCCCAGGCUGGUCUCAAACUCCUGGGCUCAGCUAUCCUCUCCCCGCAGCCUCCCAAAGUGUUGGGAUUACAGGCAUAAGCCACUGUACCUGGUUGAUGCUGUCCUUUUUAAAUGCAUUUUUCCU